rnacentral:rRNA from 1 species
UAGGGAAUUUUUCACAAUGGGCGAAAGCCUGAUGGAGCAAUACCGCGUGGAUGAUGAAGGUCUUUGGAUUGUAAAAUCCUUUUAUUAGGGACGAAUGACAUAAGUAGGAAAUGAUUUAUGUUUGACUGUACCUUUUGAAUAAGUAACGGCAAACUAUGUGCCAGCAGCCGCGGUAAUACAUAGGUUACAAGCGUUAUCCGGAUUUACUGGGCGUAAAGCGAGCGCAGGCUGAUUUACAAGUCUGGUGUUAAAUACAGUUGCUCAACAACUGUAUGCAUUGGAAACUGUAAGUCUAGAGUGUGAUAGGGAGUUCUGGAACUCCAUGUGGAGCGGUGGAAUGCGUAGAUAUAUGGAAGAACACCAGUGGCGAAAGCGAGAACUUAGGUCACAACUGACGCUUAGGCUCGAAAGUGUGGGGAGCAAAUAGG